AGAUUGAACGCUGGCGGCAUGCCUUACACAUGCAAGUCGAACGGUAGAGUAGCAAUACUCGAGGGUGGCGAACGGGUGAGUAAUAUAUCGGAACGUGCCCAGUCGUGGGGGAUAACGUAGAGAAAUUUACGCUAAUACCGCAUACGAUCUACGGAUGAAAGCGGGGGAUUCGCAAGAACCUCGCGCGAUUGGAGCGGCUGAUAUCAGAUUAGGUGUUGGUGAGGUAAAAGCUCACCAAGCCGACGAUCUGUAGCGUGGUUUGAGAGAACGACCAGCCACACUGGGACUGA
rnacentral:rRNA from 1 species